GAAAAAGCAGUGCCUUGUUACCUAUUGUGAACUGGGUUCUCGUAAACUUCAGGGAAAUUGUUUUCAUUGUUAUUGGGUGAACCUCUUUUAUUCACAUUGACUGUUGGUUCAGUAAAUGAUGGAAAAUUA